AAGAGGGAUGAGGAAACAGAGAAAAGAGAAGAAAGAAGUAGAGAAGAGGGAGGAGGGAGGGGAUCAUCUGCUUUUGGACUUCGUUGAAUAAAUUUUGACAAUAGUGGAUAUGCUUUUGCACAAAUAUCACCUUGCUUUUGAUCAUCUUCUCAAUGGGGUGUUUGGCCUUAAUAAUUCUCAAUACUAAAGCCGAAUAGUUUUGCGUUGCGUGAGCUAGCCACGUCACGACCGCCGUUUGCGUUUUUUCUCCAUCGCGCUGGUUAGAUGGACAUUUGAUGUGUUGACCCGGCUCUGUUUUUAAUUCGUUUUUGCUGCUGUUCGAGUAAAACUUCUGUAGGUUGCAGCUUUGGAAAUUCCCCCAAUUUUUGCUUGAGUUGGUGGGUUUCUCUUGGCUUUGUUUCGCUCUACAAGUUUUUUUCCCCUUUCCUUGUCUGAUUUGCUCGGCGGAGCGGCAUGUGCUUGGAUUGUCGCUGAGCUUGUUCUCUUCCAUGCCUCCCCUACAGAACGUCAUUGCUGCUCCACUCAGGCUACCUGCACUGAUUUUGUUAGUUUGCCAGGUUGUCCAGGCAACAGAUUAAUUCAUUAAUGUCCGGCAUUCUGUUGACAUAGGGGCAGAUUUUGUGCCCCAAUUUGGGGGCAUGAUUUAGUGGCCUGCUGUUUUUUCCUCAGGUAGAAUAGCUUAAAUGUCGAUGCAUUUUCAAUACGAGCACAUCAGUCUUCUCAUGAAUAAAGGCAAUUGUGUUGAAAUAAGAAAGUUUAUGGCAAACGAUUUCUUAAGACCGAUAAAUUCCAAUGAUUUUACAUGACAUAAGUAUUUUUUUUAAUACCGAUAAGUUUGAACUAGAUGCCCUAAUAGGUAUGAAGUAUUUGACUACUUAGACAUAGUAGGAGGUGUCAGAAUUUUAAAUGUCAUAGAUGAGCGAUUCGACAAGUCCCAAUAGUUAUAUGAGGAGUUAAUGGAAACAGUGUGUUAAGACUCAGAGUUAUAUACGUUUAAUUGCUCGAUGAGAAACCAAUAUACCCUAAUAAUGUACAAUGAUAAUCUCUAAGUUCAUGAAUACUAUGUUUACUGCCAAAUAUUAGAUAAGAUAUUUGCUGUGAACUGAACACAGUUAACUAACACUGGCAGGUAUCAGUAUCACCAAGAAACUUCCAUUUUACAAGGUUAGUCAAAUGAUAGUGAUGAGGCGCCUGUUGUGAAGCUCAUGAAAAGGUCAAAAUUCAGCUAUGAGCAAGCGUGGCACAGCUUAACUCCAUGAUAGAUCUUGGAAGUGACGUUCAAGUGUGUGCGUCCGGAGCUCUUCUUGCUAUAUUAGAUGACGAGAGGCUUAUUUGUAUCCUUGAGCAAAUGGAAGGCAGAACAUCCGUCAAGAUUGUUCUGUUGCACAAAACUCAUUUUAUCCUUUGAUCUGUGAUGAUAUCAGAUGAACAUAACGUACUGAUGUGCUGAAUUUUAAAUUACAUCUUCCCCCAUGAUACUUUAUUUUAGAUCCAACAUAUGUAGCUUUACUGCACUUUAGAAGUAGAUGCACUGUAGGGUAUUGCUAUUUCAAAUGUAUAAUUAACAAAAAAAAUCUCGAAAAGCAUAUGUCAUUUUCAUCAAGGGGGAAAUUAACAAUUUUUUGUAUGGUACCGAAGGCAUUCUUUAAUGGGUGUUUUUUUUCAUAAAAUUUUAAAUGUUUACACUGUAUGCCUUGACUUCAUCAGAGACAGGUUCCAGAAACUUGAUGCAAGUGCUCAUGAGGCACUACAGGUUUUUCAAGUAGAUAGCUAAAGAAGGGUAAGAACUAUACCCUGGUUCCAGUUUGUGAUAGUUAUAAAAAGUUGCAGGUUUUCAGUUUAUGGUACGCUCAACAAGGUAAACAAGCAUUUUUCUUUCCUUCUCUUAUUUUCUGGAAGUUCACUGGUUUGUCUUGAGCGUAGUGUAUGCCACCGCUGUGAAGACGCUUGUUGAGGUUUGUUCUCUACCUUUGAUAGUUAUCUCCGAAACAAGAAUAAUCAAGCUUUUUCCUAACUAUUUUUAAGCUUCAUUUUAGGGGAUGGUUCUUGCGUCCCAUAAUUCAUAUUGAGGUCAUAGUGUCAUACAUGAUCGUCUCAACACUGUCCUUUUUAACAAUGUAAAAUUCCCAUCCAUUCUGACUCAUGACGCCAAAAUGCCAUUUUCUUUUACAGCAA